GUCCGCAUAUAUUUACAUAUAAAAGGAAAACACGCAAAUGUUACUGCAAUUAUUUUAGCAGAAACGCAAGGGAUUAACUCGUGCAGUCAUGAACCAGAAACUCAACCUCCUGCUUUUAGUUAUUGCUCUUAUUUUGAUGUCAGAGAAUUUUGUGGAAUCAGUGUGGGAGCCACGAGCGUGCAGAAUUAUAACCAAAAGACAUUGUACUAGCAUGAAAUAUAAAAAUAUGUGUCCGAGUGUAUGUGGAGGUAACGGAAGAGGAUAAUCAAAUAACGUUUAAAAUAUAAUGAAUUGCAUGAUUCUGAAGAUAAUAGAAGAGAGAGAGCAAAGGUGAUGUAACGGUACUGAUUAUUAAUACACAAAAAGAAAACACUUAUAUUUCAGCAAAUAAACGAUACACCUACAAGAAUUUACGAUUUCAAACGCACGACCGCGUUUGUCCGCGCCCUGAUCAACAAGCCAGCCGCGUGCAUCUUAUGUGGCGCCGCUUUAAAUUAUGGAACCUCACAAAACACAUUAUUAAAAAUAUAAUUGGGUGUAACUGUAACUGGAUCUACGGCUUCAGAGUGAGAAAAUACACUACAGAAACGUUUUAUAAAUCCAUAAAUAAAUACUCCACUGUAGUAUAAACUCAAUUAAUUAAACAAGCUUUAUAUGUAAAUACAAAUCAACACAAGCAGUGAAAUAAAUGUUAAU